rnacentral:lncRNA from 1 species
AACAGAAUAAUCAUAGUCCGACAUUAAAAAAAUAUCUCUUUGGAUCCGUCCUUGACCGAGUCCACUUACUUGUUGUUAUUUAUUAUAAUCAAUAAAUAAAUCAAGAUAUACUAGCAUCAAAGAUAAUUAGGCCUAUUAGUAGCACAUCUGUUGCCAGUUGUUCUAGAGGUAUAACCAUGUUUUGUAAAUCAACGAUUUCUUCUAGUUAUCAAAAUGUUACAGUAGACUGAAAUGGUUUCGAUCCCUGAACAUUUUGCAUUUCAGGUAAGCACAUAUCACCGUAUCAUUUCAGAUUUGUAUUCACAUAUAUCUUAGUUUGAAUGGCAUGAAACUAACUAUUCCCCCCAUAUACCAGUAAGGGCUCUGUCAUCGUAGUUUUUGAGAUGACUUUUGAUACCAAUGAAGGACUAGAGAAAAUUGAUGAAAUAACCGCCAGCUUGCAGAACACUUCUGGAGAAACUACACUUGUUACUCAGGGUAUUUCCUAUUCACAUUCUGUCCCAACAAACAAGUAAAUUGAUAUUAACCAAAUUGAACUGUAGUUCUCUGUGUUAUAACUUCUUCCCUCCUCCAACCCCCCUCCCUUCUCCAUCUCUCACAGGUUUUGUCACAAUAACAGCACCAGACUAUACAGUGAAAUUUAAUACAUCGCAGAAUCUUAGCUGUCAAACAAGUCAACCCAUAGGGCAAUUUACAUGGUUCUUGGUCUCCUCGAAAGACGAAAACAAAAUUGAAAUCCAUGGAGGGACAGAGGUGAAAUUCAUUGAUAAGCCACCCAACACUCAAAUUCGACUUGAAUACACCUCAUAUAUCUGGAGAGGUAAAUACAUAUGUGAAUUUCAGCAGAAAUCAGUGAAACACCAAGCUCAUGCCUUUUUAGAUGUAGCCCUCUUGCCAGUAAUAGAUAUAUACACCAAACCUCAGUUUCCCAACUGCAAGGAAGCAGAUGAGGUAAAUGUAAAGGUGACUUGUGCCAUUACAAAUACCACUGAACCAUAUACAGUUACCUGGGAAGAUCCUGACUUCAUCCCUGAAGAUAUCAAGUAUGAACGUGGUGAUCGGUUGUACCGCAUACGAAAAACCAUAAAAUGUAAAGAAGAAAAUUACGAGGUUUCAUGUAAUUUCACAAACAGGCUUAAUCAAUCUCAGCUUCAGAAAGUCACUAUUCCUGUCAUCAAAACGAACUCACCCGUGUGCAACAAGGAUGGAGACUGGCCACAGGCCAAGGCUGGUCACACGGCCACACUGCAAUGUGAGGGUGAUCAAAGAGGGGAGAGGACAAGGAAAUGUUCGAAAGACAAAACCUGGGCAACUGAGAUUAAUAAGUGUGUAAACAUUGACCUGCAGGACAUAGCUGGAAAGGCUGAGGUAAUAGACUGGUGUCACACCAGUAUGUGUUGUAUGUUCCCAUGCCACAGGUUCAUUGUCUUAAAUGAUUAAAUGGUGUUAAAUGGUACCAAUCUUGAAAAUAUUACAUGUUGCAGACAUUUUGCUCAAGAUCUUUACAUACUUGAUGUGAUACACAAAAUGACUUUCAUGGGUUUAUUUAAUGUAAUGUAAUUUAAUUGAAUUGAAUGUGCUUUUUACUUUCCUUCCUCUAUGUCACUACAUAGACAGUGGUAUGCUAUUCAAUAGGUUUCACACACAUUACAGUCAUUUGGCUACUAUUUCUUAGAGGCAUGUACUAGUCUCCUAGCAUGAGCAUGAUGUAUCAGUAUGUCAAGUUCAGGCCACUUGAAAUACUGUAUCUUACAAUGGUGUACUUUCUAGUAGGAGUGCAGCAUUGGUCAGUCCGUAUUUACAGACUCAUGCAUGGACUAAGAAAGGUAACGUGUGACUAAAUAAUGUGCAUCACUGCUGGCAGACUUCUCUGUUUCAUAGAUGCGAUGUAUUCACACAUGUCAAUCUGUGAAGUUUCCUGUAUAGUUAAAGCCUCAAAGCGCUUAAAAACGUCAUAGAGUAGCUUGCAAAACUAUUUUACCAGGCUGGCUGUGAAAUAACAAGAAAUGAAGACUAAAUAGCUAAGGUGAUUCAAAUUCUUAAGUGAGAAAAAACUUAAGUAACGAUCCAUAAGAAGAAAGUGCAAGAUGCAUCACACCGCCCUGUAGAAAAAGCUGUCCCCCAAACCAAGAAUCUGAGGAAGAUAUUAAGGGAGGCCACCGCAGUCCAGCCAUCACCCUGAAAAAUAAAAAGAAACUGGUGGCUGGAAUUGGGGUGCA